UACGUAGGCAGCAAGCGUUGUUCGGAGUUACUGGGCGUAAAGGGCGCGUAGGCGGCGCAGUUAGUCAGGCGUGAAAUUCCUGGGCUCAACCUGGGGACUGCGCUUGAUACGGCUGUGCUAGAGGAUGGAAGAGGCUCGCGGAAUUCCCAGUGUAGAGGUGAAAUUCGUAGAUAUUGGGAAGAACACCGGUGGCGAAGGCGGCGAGCUGGUCCAUUACUGACGCUGAGGCGCGACAGCGUGGGGAGCAAACAGG
rnacentral:rRNA from 1 species